ACAAAUAGUUGAACACUUUGUCCCAGAAUCAACAGAUAUGACUGAAAUAAAUGAGACUCUACCACUAUCAGCCAAUUAUGUCAAGAAACUAGAUAUAAGACAACUCCUUCCACCAGUGAGAGAAGCCCCAAAAGGUCCAGAUUUUGACGAUGCCUCAGAUGCUGGAAGUGAAGCAGGAGAUGAACCAGAAUGUGAUCAUUUUAACUUUGGCCCCAUUUUAAAACAACUGCCAAAUAUUGAAGAACUUCAUUUAACAUAUGGAGUCAAAGACUGUGGGAUGAAUUUUGAAUGGAACUUGUUUAAUUUCACUGCUAGAGACUGUUUGCUGUUGGCUCAGUGUGUGGCUGCAACAAAAGGACUGAAAGUUUUCAGGCUUCACAGAAGUAAAGUGGACGACGACAAAGUCCGAGUUUUGAUCAGCCACAUUCUGGACCAUCCAGGCUUAACGGAGUUGGACCUAUCCCACAAUGUAAUCAGUGACCGUGGUGCCAGGGCCAUUGGGAAAUUCCUCAACAACCACAGUCAGUUAGUCAAACUGAACCUCUGUGAUAAUGAUGUACGACACAGUGGAGCCCAAGCUAUUGCCCACGCCUUGACCAAAAACACAACUCUGACGGAUCUGAACAUUCGGUUGAAUCGUCUGGGAGAUGAGGGAGGACAGGCCAUCUGUAAAGCUCUGCUGAAGAACACCACACUCUGCAAUAUCAACAUGGCUAGUAGUGAUCUAGGCGAGCCCACUGCCGCCAUUUUCUCCCAGGUUGUCAUGCAAAAUACAACAUUGAAAUCAGUUGACUUGUCAUCAAACAGACUUGGUGCAGUAAGUAUAUCAUGGAUAAUGAUUUUUGAUUUAAUAAUUAGAAGAAUUUGACAUGGAUAAAAUAUAAAUAGAUAUACAUGUAUAUGAAAAUAACCUAUUAAAUAUAACUAGUUUAAAUCAAUAUUUUUAAAUUUAGAUAAUUUUCAUAUUUUACACAGAUGCCAUCUAGUUUUAAUAACACAUUCAUCUUAUCACUUAAGAAUAAAUUUCAAACAACUAUAACUUCUUCAUUUUAGGAGGGUGGUAAACAAAUCCAGGAAGGUAUGGAGGACAACACGACCAUCACCCACAUGGAUCUCCGUCUGACUGAUUCCGGACAGGAAGCCGAGUACUGCAUCAACCAGAUCCUGCACCGGAACCAGGAACGAGAGCGGGAGAGCAAGAUCUGUGAGCCCCCUGCACCCUCCAAGAAAAUUCUGCCACAGGCUGCUCAUAGGUUUAAGCCCACAAAGGCCUGAACAAACAAAGACCAUUGUUACUGUAUGUGGACUAGGCACUUUCUUCAGGCCCUGUUUGAAUUAUUUUUUUUGUUGGAAAUGUGAAAGAUGAACACAUUUAUUGUUAUACAUUGAUUUCUACUGUGUAAUGAAAUGUCUCCUGAUAUUGUCAAUCUUAUGUGACAUGUGCUAUGUUAAAAUGUUUGAAGAAGUAUUAUUUAAUUAAUAUGAAAAAAAAUAAAAUACUAAUGUAG
rnacentral:misc_RNA from 1 species